rnacentral:rRNA from 1 species
UACAGAGGUCUCAAGCGUUGUUCGGAUUCAUUGGGCGUAAAGGGUGCGUAGGCGGCGCGGUAAGUCGGGUGUGAAAUCUUGGAGCUUAACUCCGAAACUGCAUUCGAUACUGCCGUGCUUGAGGACUGGAGAGGAGACUGGAAUUUACGGUGUAGCGGUGGAAUGCGCAGAUAUCAGGAAGAACACCCGUGGCGAAGGCGGCUCUCUGGAACGCAACUGACGCUGAGACGCGAAAGCGUGGGGAGCAAACAGG